AAACACCCUGCUAAGGAACAAGUAUCUUGGUUCACAGCAAAGAGGACAAAGAAAAACAGCAAGUUAUAGGGGUUGAAUGCUGGAUUAAAGAGACCGCUCAUCCACCCCAAUCGUUCUCAAGCAGGAGUCUCCGUACUACGCUGUGCUCUACAGUAAUCACCUUCUCCAUCAGCCAUUGCCAAGCCUUGAGAACUCUCAAAGAGGUUUGAAUCCUGAUGAACUGAAAGGACUGAGGAUUUUGCCUGAGGCCAUGAUUCCAGCUUGAGCAGACUUUGAA